rnacentral:rRNA from 1 species
CAUGAGUUCGAGGUGGACGAGGAUGGUGAGGGCAUUGUCGACGCACCGAAAGGAAGAGGAGGCAAUUACACCAACAUUGAAGACAUCUUACUAUGCAAUACUUGGUUGCAAGUGUCGAGGGAUCCAUCCGUUGGAGGUGAUCAAAGUAGAGAUGCUUAUUGGCUUCGGAUGAAGGAACACUUUGAUGUUCGCAACGAGAGUGGAAUUGACCGCUCCGAUCGAUCUCUUCGCUCCCGGUGGUCGACAAUCAACAAGGAUUGUCAAAAGUGGGCGGCCGCACAAAAGGCGGUUGACAAG